AGGGCUAAUGGUGGAUGCCUUGACUGUAAGAGGCGAUGAAAGACGUAUUAGGCUGCGAUAAGCCUCGGGGAGCUGCCAAAGAGCUUUGAUCCGGGGAUUUCUGAAUGGGGCAACCCAAUAUAAUGAGAAUUAUAUUACCCUACGGGGAGCGAACCUGGUGAAGUGAAACAUCUCAGUAGCCAGAGGAAGAGAAAUCAAUUGAGAUUCCGUCAGUAGCGGCGAGCGAACGCGGAUUAGGACAAACCCAAUGCUUGCAUUGGGGGUUGUAGGACUAUAAUGUGUAGUUAAAGAGAAUAGAUGAAUUAGUUGGAAAGCUAGAGCAUAGAAGGUGAUACUCCUGUAAUUAAAAUUCUCAAUAACGCUAAUAGUAUCCUGAGUAGGUCGGAACACGUGAUAUUUUGACUGAAGCUGGGGGGACCACCCUCCAAUCCUAAAUACUACUUACAGAUCGAUAGUGAACAAGUACCGUGAGGGAAAGGUGAAAAGUACUGCAGCGAGCAGAGUGAAAUAGAACCUGAAACCAUUAGCUUACAAUCAUUCAGAGCCCUAUGAUUUAUCAGGGUGAUGGACUGCCUUUUGCAUAAUGAGCCUGCGAGUUGUGGUGUCUGGCAAGGUUAAGCCAAGUGCGAAGCCGUAGCGAAAGCGAGUCUUAAUAGGGCGACAUAGUCAGAUGCUGCAGACCCGAAACGAAGUGAUCUAUCCAUGAGCAGGUUGAAGCUGGUGUAAGAGCCAGUGGAGGACCGAACCCGCUGACGUUGAAAAGUCUUGGGAUGACUUGUGGAUAGGGGUGAAAGGCCAAUCAAACUUCGUGAUAGCUGGUUCUCUCCGAAAUAUAUUUAGGUAUAGCCUUGUGUUGUAGCAUAUAGGGGUAGAGCACUGAAUGGGCUAGGGCUGCUUACCGCGGUACCAAACCCUAUCAAACUAUGAAUACUAUAUGUGGAAUCACAGGAGUCAGGCGGUGGGUGAUAAAAUCCGUCGUCAAGAGGGGAACAACCCAGACUAACAGCUAAGGUCCCUAAGUUACAUCUAAGUGGAAAACGAUGUGGAGUUACUGUGACAACCAGGAGGUUGGCUUAGAAGCAGCCAUCCUUUAAAGAAAGCGUAACAGCUCACUGGUCUAGUGAUUCUGCGCGGAAAAUAUAACGGGGCUAAGAUGUACACCGAAGCUUUAGAUUCAAUUUUUAAUUGAGUGGUAGGAGAGCGUUCUAUUCAGCGUUGAAGGUAUACCGGUAAGGAGUGCUGGAGCGGAUAGAAGUGAGCAUGCAGGCAUGAGUAGCGUUAAAACAGGUGAGAAUCCUGUUCGCCGAAAACCCAAGGUUUCCUACGCGAUGCUCGUCAUCGUAGGGUUAGUCGGGUCCUAAGUCGAGUCCGAAAGGGGUAGACGAUGGCAAAUUGGUUAAUAUUCCAAUACCAACAUAUAAGCGCGAUGUGGGGACGCAUAGAGUUAAUCGAGGUCACGGAUGGAAGUGUGGCUCGAAGGAUGUAGGUUGUUAAGUAGGCAAAUCCGCUUAACGUUAGACCGAGAUCUUACAGGCUCUUGACACUCUUCGGAGGAGAUGGAGAAUCGAUGAUACUGUCGUGCCAAGAAAAGCCACUAAGUAUAUUAUAUGUUGCCCGUACCGUAAACCGACACAGGUGGGUGGGAUGAGUAUUCUAAGGCGCGUGGAAGAACCCUCUUUAAGGAACUCUGCAAACUAGCACCGUAUCUUCGGUAUAAGGUGUGCCUACUUUGGUAUAUGGACUUGCUCCAAAAAGCUAAAGAGGUUGCAACAAAGAGUCCCUCCCGACUGUUUACCAAAAACACAGCACUUUGCUAACACGUAAGUGGAUGUAUAAGGUGUGACGCCUGCCCGGUGCUCGAAGGUUAAUUGAUGAUGUCAGCGCAAGCGAAGCAUUUGAUCGAAGCCCGAGUAAACGGCGGCCGUAACUAUAACGGUCCUAAGGUAGCGAAAUUCCUUGUCAGUUAAAUACUGACCUGCAUGAAUGGCGUAACGAGAUGGGAGCUGUCUCAAAGAGGGAUCCAGUGAAAUUGUAGUGGAGGUGAAAAUUCCUCCUACCCGCGGAAAGACGGAAAGACCCCGUGCACCUUUACUACAGCUUGACACUGUAGCUUGGAUAUUCAUGUGCAGGAUAGGUGGGAGGCUAUGAUGACUAGACGCCAGUAGAGUCGGAGCCAUCCUUGAGAUACCACCCUUGAAUAUUUGAGUUACUAACUGCGAUGAGUUAACCUCAUUCAGGACAAUGUCUGGUGGGUAGUUUGACUGGGGCGGUCGCCUCCUAAAUAGUAACGGAGGCUUACAAAGGUUAGUUCAGAUGGGUUGGAAAUCCAUCGUUGAGUAUAAUGGCAUAAACUAGCUUGACUGUGAGACCAACAAGUCGAACAGAGACGAAAGUCGGUCAUAGUGAUCCGGUGGUUCUGCGUGGAAGGGCCAUCGCUCAAAGGAUAAAAGGUACGCCGGGGAUAACAGGCUGAUCUCCCCCAAGAGCUCACAUCGACGGGGAGGUUUGGCACCUCGAUGUCGGCUCAUCGCAUCCUGGGGCUGUAGUCGGUCCCAAGGGUAUGGCUGUUCGCCAUUUAAAGCGGUACGCGAGCUGGGUUCAGAACGUCGUGAGACAGUUCGGUCCCUAUCUUCCGUGGGCGUAGGAAAGUUGAAGAGAUUUGUCCCUAGUACGAGAGGACCGGGAUGAACCAACCACUGGUGUACCAAUUGUUCUGCCAAGAGCAUCGUUGGGUAGCCACGUUGGGAUGUGAUAAGAGCUGAAAGCAUCUAAGCUCGAAGCCAACUCUAAGAUGAACUUUCCCUGAAGUUCCCAGCAAGACUAGCUGGUUGAUAGGCUGGAUGUGUAAUGGGUGUAAGCCCUUUAGCUGACCAGUACUAAUAGAACGUUUGGCUUAUUU
rnacentral:rRNA from 1 species